rnacentral:rRNA from 1 species
GGGGGCCCGCACAAGCGGUGGAGCAUGUGGUUUAAUUCGAUGCAACGCGAAGAACCUUACCUACUCUUGACAUCCAGAGAACUUUCCAGAGAUGGAUUGGUGCCUUCGGGAACUCUGAGACAGGUGCUGCAUGGCUGUCGUCAGCUCGUGUUGUGAAAUGUUGGGUUAAGUCCCGCAACGAGCGCAACCCUUAUCCUUUGUUGCCAGAGGUCCGGCCGGGAACUCAAAGGAGACUGCCAGUGAUAAACUGGAGGAAGGUGGGGAUGACGUCAAGUCAUCAUGGCCCUUACGAGUAGGGCUACACACGUGCUACAAUGGCGCAUACAAAGAGAAGCGACCUCGCGAGAGCAAGCGGACCUCAUAAAGUGCGUCGUAGUCCGGAUUGGAGUCUGCAACUCGACUCCAUGAAGUCGGAAUCGCUAGUAAUCGUAGAUCAGAAUGCUACGGUGAAUACGUUCCCGGGCCUGGGA